rnacentral:rRNA from 1 species
CACUGGCUGAAACCUAUAUGGCCCCUGGAUUGGACUGCGGCCGAUCAGGCUGUUGGUGAGGUAAUGGCCCACCAAACCUGUAACCGGUACGGGCUUUGAGAGAAGGAGCCCGGAGAUGGGCACUGAGACAAGGGCCCAGGCCCUAUGGGGCGCAGCAGGCGCGAAAAUUCUGCAAUAGGCGAAAGCUUGACAGAGUUACUCUGAGUGAUGCCCGCUAAGGGCAUCUUUUGGCACCUCUAAAAAUGGUGCAGAAUAAGGGGUGGGCAAGUCUGGUGUCAGUCGCCGCGGUAAUACCAGCACCCCGAGUGGUCGGGACGAUUAUUGGGCCUAAAGCAUCCGUAGCCGGUUUUACAAGUCCUCCGUUAAAUCCAGCUGCUUAACAGAUGGGCUGCGGAGGAUACUAUAAGACUAGGAGGCAGGAGAGGCAAGCGGUACUCAGUGGGUAGGGGUAAAAUCCGUUGAUCCAUUGAAGACCACCAGUGGCGAAGGCGGCUUGCCAGAAUGCGCUCGACGGUGAGGGAUGAAAGCUGGGGGAGCAAACCGGAUUAGAUACCCGGGUAGUCCCAGCUGUAAACGAUGCAGACUCGGUGAUGGACUAGCUUUAUGCUAGUCCAG